UCUUUGAUGGUCCAACGGUCAAGAUUCCCGCUUGUCACGCGGGCGACCGGGGUUCGACUCCCCGUCAGAGAG
rnacentral:tRNA from 1 species